GUUUUUGGUCCCAAGGCUCG
rnacentral:snRNA from 1 species